UACGGAGGGUGCAAGCGUUAGUCGGAAUUACUGGGCGUAAAGGGUGCGUAGGCGGGGACAAACGUCAGAUGUGAAAUUCCGGGGCUCAACCCCGGCGCUGCAUCUGAAACGGUGUCUCUUGAGGACUGGCGGAGAGAAUGGAAUUCCAUGUGUAGCGGUGAAAUGCGUAGAUAUAUGGAAGAACACCUGUAGCGAAAGCGAUUCUCUAGCUUAAUCCUGACGCUGAGGCACGAGAGCAAGGGGAGCAAACAGG
rnacentral:rRNA from 1 species